AGAUGUGACGCUGAUUUCACUGUGUCAUCUGUCACCACAGAUGAUUCCUCUGGUCAGGAUGACAAGGCAGAUGUCCACUUCAUUCCUCACUGUUCCCUAAAUGUCCCACCUAAAGAUAUGUACUUGGUAAAAGACAGCUUUCCCCCAAAUAGAGAAUGAUAAUUCUUCAGUGGAGUGGACAUGGGUGUUUGUGCUCCUCUGCUAGGUUCUCCAACCAAGCUUGCAAAUGGGUCCAGACCAGUUCCAAACCUGUUCUUGGUACAAAAAGUCUUCAAUUCCUCUUGAGAGACACUU
rnacentral:snRNA from 1 species